UGAAAGACGGUCUUGCUGUCACUUAUAGAUGGAUCCGCGCUGCAUUAGCUAGUUGGUAAGGUAACGGCUUACCAAGGCAACGAUGCAUAGCCGACCUGAGAGGGUGAUCGGCCACACUGGAACUGAGACACGGUCCAGACUCCUACGGGAGGCAGCAGUAGGGAAUCUUCCGCAAUGGGCGAAAGCCUGACGGAGCAACGCCGCGUGAGUGAUGAAGGUCUUCGGAUCGUAAAACUCUGUUAUUAGGGAAGAACAUAUGUGUAAGUAACUGUGCACAUCUUGACGGUACCUAAUCAGAAAGCCACGGCUAACUACGUGCCAGCAGCCGCGGUAAUACGUAGGUGGCAAGCGUUAUCCGGAAUUAUUGGGCGUAAAGCGCGCGUAGGCGGUUUUUUAAGUCUGAUGUGAAAGCCCACGGCUCAACCGUGGAGGGUCAUUGGAAACUGGAAAACUUGAGUGCAGAAGAGGAAAGUGGAAUUCCAUGUGUAGCGGUGAAAUGCGCAGAGAUAUGGAGGAACACCAGUGGCGAAGGCGACUUUCUGGUCUGUAACUGACGCUGAUGUGCGAAAGCGUGGGGAUCAAACAGGAUUAGAUACCCUGGUAGUCCACGCCGUAAACGAUGAGUGCUAAGUGUUAGGGGGUUUCCGCCCCUUAGUGCUGCAGCUAACGCAUUAAGCACUCCGCCUGGGGAGUACGACCGCAAGGUUGAAACUCAAAGGAAUUGACGGGGACCCGCACAAGCGGUGGAGCAUGUGGUUUAAUUCGAAGCAACGCGAAGAACCUUACCAAAUCUUGACAUCCUUUGACAACUCUAGAGAUAGAGCUUUCCCCUUCGGGGGACAAAGUGACAGGUGGUGCAUGGUUGUCGUCAGCUCGUGUCGUGAGAUGUUGGGUUAAGUCCCGCAACGAGCGCAACCCUUAAGCUUAGUUGCCAUCAUUAAGUUGGGCACUCUAAGUUGACUGCCGGUGACAAACCGGAGGAAGGUGGGGAUGACGUCAAAUCAUCAUGCCCCUUAUGAUUUGGGCUACACACGUGCUACAAUGGACAAUACAAAGGGCAGCGAAACCGUGAGGUCAAGCAAAUCCCAUAAAGUUGUUCUCAGUUCGGAUUGUAGUCUGCAACUCGACUACAUGAAGCUGGAAUCGCUAGUAAUCGUAGAUCAGCAUGCUACGGUGAAUACGUUCCCGGGUCUUGUACACACCGCCCGUCACACCACGAGAGUUUGUAACACCCGAAGCCGGUGGAGUAACCUUUUAGGAGCUAGCCGUCGAAGGUGGGACAAAUGAUUGGGGUGAAGUCGUAACAAGGUAGCCGUAUCGGAAGGUGCGGCUGGAUCACCUCCUUU
rnacentral:rRNA from 1 species